UACGGGGGGAGCAAGCGUUGUUCGGAUUUACUGGGCGUAAAGGGCGCGUAGGCGGCGCGGUAAGUCGGGUGUGAAAUCUCGGGGCUUAACUCCGAAACUGCAUUCGAUACUGCCGUGCUUGAGGACUGGAGAGGAGACUGGAAUUUACGGUGUAGCAGUGAAAUGCGUAGAUAUCGUAAGGAAGACCAGUGGCGAAGGCGGGUCUCUGGACAGUUCCUGACGCUGAGGCACGAAGGCCAGGGGAGCAAACGGG
rnacentral:rRNA from 1 species